rnacentral:misc_RNA from 1 species
UCCGGCUUAACGCCGGCAGUCCCCCCAGAGUCCCCGGCCGAACCGCUGGCAACUGGGAGCGAGAGUUGCGCUCGUUGCGGGACUUAACCCAACAUCUCACGACACGAGCUGACGACAGCCAUGCAGCACCUGUGCUGGCGCUCCGAAGAGGGGCCGAUGUUUCCACCGGCUUACACCAGCAUAGUUCAACCCAGGUAAGGUUCUUCGCGUUGCAUCGAAUUAAGCCACAUGCUCCGCCGCUUGUGCGGGCCCCGUCAAUUCCUUUGAGUUUUAGCCUUGCGGCCGUACUCCCCAGGCGGGGCGCUUAAUGCGUUAGCUGCGGCACGGAAUCCGUGGAAGGACCCCACACCUAGCGCCCAACGUUUACGGCGUGGACUAC